ensembl:lncRNA
CCAGUGUUUGGUGAUUUCCUGGCUCACUUGGCAUAACAUUUUUGGAGGCCCCAGCAAGAUCACCAUCACUUGGUGACUUCUGUCCAGUGGACGGCCCCUAUCUCAGGCCGCUGUGGCCUGAGAUAGGCCUGGGGAGGCCACCCUGACCAUUUGAUCAGGGCCCUGGGAGCUUGGGCCCCAAGCGGAGGAUUCGGGUCAUUCCAGCCAUCCUGAAGGGAGUUUAUCUGGAAAGCCUCCAGAAGUCAGCCUACCUGGGACAACUGCCAGCAGCUGUUCCACACCCUCUUCACUACGGAGGAGUGGGACUGGAUUUUUCAAGAGGCUGUUAAGGUGGCCCUGGGACCAAACCCAGACCUCAGUCCUGGCACUCCGGCUUAACUGCAGCAAGCAGAGGCUGAGGUGCCAACCCAUCAACCAAACUGGGACUCCAACACCGAUGCAGGCCCUCCAGGUAAUCCAACAGAAACUGUGAAAUCGAGUUUGGGAGGCCAGGCCGGCCCCUCAACCUGAUGUCACCUGCCAUAAAUUUCAGCUUGGAGAUCUGGUGCUGGUAAAGAGACAUUCAUCUAAGGCUCUGGAGCCACAUUGGGAAGGGCCUUUCCAGGUGAUCUUGAUGACGCCAUCUGCCGUAAAGGUCACAGGAAAGACCCCGUGGAUACAUCACUGCCACAUCAAAGCAGCUCCUGAGGACACCCCAGCGGACAAAUGGAGGAUCAUCAGUCAACCAGGCAACAAAAAGCUAAGACUGGGAUGGGUUGGAAAUAUAUCCCUUUCUUGUUAAUACUGAAAUGUGUGGGGGGACAACGACUGGGACAACUGCCCCAGUGGGAGAAAUGGCAGCUCCAGGAAAUUGACACGGGACACAUAUAUAGACGGACAAAGUUUGGGCCAGACCAAAAUGAUCUAAAGUUUAAAAUUGUUUCUUUGUGUCAACUGUUCCAUCCCCACCUGAAUCCCUUAAGUACAGACUGCUCAAAUGUAAUGUGGCACUUGGUAAUUACUCUGGGCAAUCUGACUGUCUCAGUCCUUAAGCCUUUACAAUUUUAUGCUUGCAAUUCAGAUGGCCAUUCAAAGUGUCAGAAAAGCCCCCCUUACUGUGUUGAGUGGGGUUGUCAGUUUCAGCUUUAAAAAAUGACAAUAAAUAGAUAGACAUUAACCCUGAGGCCCAAGAAAUAAAAAGAAAAACUGAUGAAUUACUUUUGUUGGAAAUAAUGUUGUUUGUUAUAUUAACCUGUAAUUCAACAUUUAUUAUGGUCAUUAUUUUUAAGUCAUUAUUUUCUAGAACAUUGACAAUAUUACCCCAAAAACAAUUGGACCUUGCUGGUAAUGUUUGGAUUCAGCUGGUACAAUCACUUAAUUUGUCUGAGUUCUGUUUAAAUGUAGACAUAAAUUUACAUUAUGUUUUAGGGAGUUGUCUUGCCCUGGUGUGCACUCCUGUGAGUCUGAUACAACCUUAUACCCUGUUUAAAGACAUCCCAGGAAAAAAUCUUAUGUACAAAAAUAGUUACAUUUGGGGGACCCCCUCUUAUUCUAAACCAAAAAAAUGCUAUUAAGUUAUAUACACUUCAGAUGAUUAUGUUAAACAAUACACAAAGUCUAAGAUUAAAAAGGUUAGGAAAAAUGACCUGUUAUGAGAAACAAAAAAUCAUAUAUAGUGAUGGUCAUGUACCUCUACCAUCAGGAUAGUUUUAUACAUGUAAAAGAGUAACAUUUAAUUAUAUCCCUGCCUACUUGUCUGAGACUCGGUGCUGCCUGAGUCACUUGCCCAUAAUAUUGCCAGAUCGAACUGAUUUGAUAGUGCCCCCAAAAUUAAACGUUGGUCAUCCUAUACUGAAUCAGGAUGUGAUGAUGAUGUAGGUCUCUUAACAGAUGCUCAAGCGAUACCUACGAUAGCAUCUGUGCUUGCUCAGCCUGCCAUAGGAAUUCAUGCAGAAAGGGCAGUGCAAAAAUUGGCAUGCAAGGUGGUCAAAGGUCCAAACACUACCUCAUCUGCCUUGGCAUUAAUUAAUCAGGAAUUACAAGAGCACCGACGGGCUAUACUAGACAACAGGGAAACAAUAGAUUACUUGUUCUUGUUCUUGUUCCAUCAUCAAGGAUGUAAAAAAAAAAUGUGUUGUUUUAAUAUGACUGAUAAUAGCCCAGGGAUUCAAGAAAAAAUAAAACCAAUUAAAAAAUUGACAGAAAAAAUACAUAAUAAAAAAUUAGGAUGGGAUUUGUUUCAAUGGUUAACUCAAUGGUUGCCUAAUAUUCAAUGGUUAAAACAGAUUUUUCUUGUAGUUAUAAUUGUAAUCAUAUGUUUGUUGCUAUCAUGUUGCAACAUACAAUGCCUACCUGACUGUAUGGGAUGCUCUCAGUGGUUCAUAGAUUAUUAAAUUUGACUAUUAUGUUGCUGAAUGAAAUGUAUAAACCCUUGCCUGAAAAAAUAUAUGACAGAGAUAAAUCAAAGGUUUGAUUUUGUACAAAAACCAGUGGGGAAUGUGAGACCAAAAGUGAACCUAAGCAAUGCCAUCUUGGCCUGUGAAUAAACUCCCCUCAUACCCCUCCCCUUACAGAGUGCUGGAAUUCUCCUAAAGAUGCAUUUUUGUAACCACUCUUCUAACCACUUGCUCUGCUUCUGUAGAUAUGCUUUAUCGCUCCCUGGGAACAGAUGGUGCCUGGUGCCUCCCUGUAACUGCUGAACCCUGUAGCUAUAGAAUGUCCUAUCUUGACAAGAUAGGUGGGUUGUGAAAGAUAUUUUGCAGCUGCUUGAAGGACAUGUUGACCUCUCCCUAAACUUCUUUGUUUGAGUUACCUAUAAAAGCUGUGCUGUCUCCUGCUUCUGGACUUCACCUCUCCUAGAGGGUGGAGUCCACAUACGUGAAUAAACU